rnacentral:sRNA from 1 species
AUGCCUUCUCGGCCUUUUGGCUAAGAUCAAGUGCAGAUUGAUUGUUGUAGAACUUUGAAUAAGUGUCUUUGUAUCAGAUGUUUCAACUUUUAGAAACUGUCAGCUGGGAAGAAGACUUUAAAAAAUAAAUUUCCUUAGAUUUCAGCUUUGUCCCAAACCCACCAAACCUGUUAGGUGAGUCUGUAUGGAGAAUUUAAACCUUU